rnacentral:rRNA from 1 species
AACGAACGCUGGCGGCGCGCCUAACACAUGCAAGUCGCGGGAGAAUAGCGGGGCAACUCGCUUAGUAAACCGGCGCACGGGUGAGUAGCACGUGGAUAAUCUGCCUCGAUGACGGGAAUAACGUUCCGAAAGGAGCGCUAAUGCCCGAUAAGACCACGGCGGCUUCGGCUGCUGCGGUAAAAAGAUGGCCUCUGUAUACAAGCUAUCGCAUUGAGAUGAGUCCGCGGCCCAUCAGCUUGUUGGCGGGGUAACGGCCCACCAAGGCAAAGA